AACCGCAUAAGCGCACAGCUUUGCAUGAAGCAGUGUGAAAAACUCCGGUGGUACAGGAUGGACCCGCGUCUGAUUAGCCAGUUGGCAGGGUAAUGGCCUACCAAAGCGACGAUCAGUAGCCGGCUUGAGAGAGUGACCGGCCACAUUGGGACUGAGACACGGCCCAAACUCCUACGGGAGGCAGCAGUGGGGGAUAUUGCACAAUGGGGGAAACCCUGAUGCAGCGACGCCGCGUGAGUGAAGAAGUAUUUCGGUAUGUAAAGCUCUAUCAGCAGGGAAGAAAACAAUGACAGUACCUGACUAAGAAGCCCCGGCUAACUACGUGCCAGCAGCCGCGGUAAUACGUAGGGGGCAAGCGUUAUCCGGAUUUACUGGGUGUAAAGGGAGCGUAGGCGGUGCGGCAAGUCAGAAGUGAAAGCCCGGGGCUCAACUCCGGGACUGCUUUUGAAACUGUCGGACUGGAGUGUCGGAGAGGUAAGUGGAAUUCCUAGUGUAGCGGUGAAAUGCGUAGAUAUUAGGAGGAACACCAGUGGCGAAGGCGGCUUACUGGACGAUCACUGACGCUGAGGCUCGAAAGCGUGGGGAGCAAACAGGAUUAGAUACCCUGGUAGUCCACGCCGUAAACGAC
rnacentral:rRNA from 1 species